UCUUUGCACUACGUUAUUUAAACCCCCUGUAAAUACCCUUAGUGGCUCUAAUAGUAGCUCCAUAUUGUGCAAGACAGCCGCGGUCUGAAGACUUUCUUGAAUUUGAAAGACAGAAGUUCCGUUUCUGGCACAUAAACUUGAAUUACGGCUGUGGGUAAAGGAAGGUAUUUCUGAUAACUUGAAAAUGGAGGAAAGAUGGAAAAACUGAGCCUGGAAAGAAAGCCACCUGGUGGCUUGAAGAGAACAUGGGUAUCUGAAGCCUCCUGGAUGAAACUUAUAAAACCCAUGGACAUCCAUCAACCAAUCAUCAGUGGGUUUAACCAGGACUGGGAACCUCCACACUCCCCCAUUGACCAUACAUCUGCUCUGCUCUGGCUCUGUCAAUGACUUCUGGACUACUGGACUCUGGCACUUUUCUCCACCAUGACAAUGUGUAACCUGAUUGUCCAGUUAUGCUGAUUCAACACUACAAGACUGGAAAGGAGCUGAGUCAUAGGAAAGCCAAGCACAGCUUCACCCUAAAACAUCUACUCCAUGCAUCAUCCAAGCUUUGCUGCAGAGACUGGACCAUUUAUCAAGACUUCUCCACAGAGUGUUACUUUAGGGAUCCUAUUUUCUUUUCCUUCUGUCUAGCCCACCUUUUGGAAAUAUACCAUAUCCCCUGGCCAUCAGACAAACCUGUAUCUGCCUUAAUGCAACUGUCUCAUUCAAAUUCUGCCCCAAAGAGUUCCUGGGCUGGGAGCUCCCAAAACUGGGGGCUGAACUUUUGAAAGCACAUGAAACACCCAUAAUAGUCCUCACUUCAGAGGUUCACCUGGACCUCCCCACAAAUAAUCUGUUAUUCAAAUAAAGCAGUUAAUAAACAGCCUAAA